UCCCCUUACAUGGGAGAGGCCAGAAGGCCCUGGGGAAGAGUUUUUCCCAGACGCCGAAAUUAAUAGGAUAUCUAACAUAUCUGAAUCUACACAACUUGUAAACCGGGAAGAAUUGGGGGAUAAAACAGUAACGAGUACAUAGAGAGCUCGGCAAAAGCAAAUGCAAGGCAAUGACGAAAUCCAGAGAAAACGAAAAGUUACAGCAGAAGGAAAAAUUAAUCAUGGCUCAUCCGUGAAUAGUAGUUAACUGUUACCCGAAACUCCGAAAAUUACUCUAACCCAGAAGAAGUCACAACUGGGAGGAUGAAGGGCCAGAAAGUCUAGGGUGCCAAGGGUGAAGAGACCAGAAGUGGAGGGGUGAAGGGUGAAGGAGACAGGAAGUCUAAGGGGGUGGAAAGUGAUGAGAUGAUGGGUGUGUGUGUGUGUGUGUGUGUGUGUGUGUGUGCGCGUGUGUGUAGGAGACCAGAAGUGGAGGGGGGAAGGGUGAAGAGUGAAGGAGACCGGAAGCGUAAGGGGGUGGAAGGUGAGAGGUGAAGGAGACCGGAAGUAAAGGGGGUGAAAGGUGUACGAAGACAGGAAGUGUCAGGGGGUGAAGAGUGAAAAAUGUAGAAGAGCCAAAUUGUCACGGGCUGUUCUCAGUUUCAAACACCCAGAGUGGAAAAAGCUAGAAAUAUAAGCCUGUUCUUUGGUGAUAGGGAGAAAGGGAGACCCCGAGGAGUCGACUGGAUGUGCCGUGUGCGGCGGCCGGGCCUACUCGCCACCCUCGGGAGGGCCCCCAGCGAGCGUGGAGGACGGAACCCCCGCAAUCACCGGUAUUUGGCAUCACCUGUCAGGAGCGCCGGGAUCAGGAAACAUCCUGGCUGACCCACGGUGGGCAGGGCCGGGGAAACCACAGCGGAGUUUGGGGAGAGCGGAGCCUGAGGACGCUGAAGACCGCGUCUCAUCCUUCUCUUGUAUCUCCAAAACCAGAACCAGAAAGGGGGAGCCACGUAAAAUCAAGCGCUGAAUUAAUGAAACUCACGUUGAUCGUCAGCUGCUGUUACUGUUAGCAAAAGAGAUAACCGGUGUGUUAUCUCCUGAUGGAAGAACACGGCAUGGCCUCCCCGUGGUGCAACCAGCAAGAUCCGGGCUGGGAGGGGCGCCUGGGGGGCCCAGUCGGGUAAGCAUCGAACCUCGGGCUCAGGUCAGGAUCUCAUGAGCCCCGCGUCGGGCUCUGCGCGGACAGCUCGGAGCCCGGAGCCUGCUUCGGAUUCUCUGUCUCCCUCGCUCUCUGCCCCUCCCCCACUCAUGCUCUGCCUCUUUCUCUCUCAAAAGUAAACAUAAAAAACUGAAAAAAAAAAAAAAAAAAAAAAGAGAGAGAGAGAGAGAGAAAGACCCAGGCUGGGAGACACCCUGCAGGGCAAAUGACCCAGUUCCUUCGCAGGUGCAUGUGCUCGUGCAUGCACACACACAAACACACAUACCCACUGAGUCAAGAAACCUACGGGGUAAAAGAAGCCUGACAGACGUACCCAGCGAUUUCAGCACGUGAACUUAUUUGAAUCCUGAUUCCGGGGCAUCUGGGUGGCUCGGUCGAUGAAGCGUCCAGCUUUGGCUCAGGUCAUGAUCUCACGCUUCAUGGGUUCGAGCCCUGUGUCAGGCUCUCUGCUCUCAGCCCAGAACCUGCUCCAUAUCAUCUGUCCCCCUCUCUGCCCCUCCCCUGCUGGCUCUCUCUCUCUCUCUCUCAAAAAUGGAUAAACUUAAAAAAAAAAUACUUUGAAUCCUGAUCCAAACAAGCAAGAUAUUUUUAAAAUGACAUUUGUCAAUUAGAUAUUUAAAUACUGAGUAUUUGCUGAAAUUAAGAAAGUGUUAAUUUUUUAGGUGUGAUGAUGGUAUUAAGGUUUUAUAUUUUAAAAACUUUUAUUUUAUAUUUAUAUAUUCUAUUUGUGUAAUAAAUAUUUAUAUAUUUUAUGUACUAGGUGCACUUAAAUACAUUUAUAUAAAAUAUUUUAAUUUUUAUUAAAUAUUUUAUAUGUGUCUAUAUCUUCAUGUUUUAUAUUUUUAUAUUAUUUUCAAAUAUUUAAAAUAUUUUGUAUUUUUAUAAUUUUAGUUUUUAAAACUUUUAAUGUUUUAUAAAAUAGAUGUUUAAGGUUUUUCAUAAAAUCUUUAUAUACUGGGGCACCUGGGUGGCUCAGUCGGUUGAGCGUCCAACUUCAGCUCAGGUCAUGAUCUCGCAGCUCAUGAGUUCAGGCCCUGGGUCAGGCUCUAUGCUGACAGCUCAGAGUCCGGAGCCUGCUUCAGAUCCUGUGUCUCCCUUUCUCUCUUCACCUCCCCUGCUUGCACUGUCUCUCUCUUUCUUUCUCUCUCUCAAAAAUAAAAUUAAAAUAAGAAAAAAACUUUAUAUAUUAAGUUAAAAACAUUUUUAAAAUUAUUUUUAAAUUACAUAUUAAAUUAAAAGACAAACCUUUACUUUUUAGAGCUACACACUGAAACAUUUACAGAUGAAAUAAUAUGAAGUCAAGGAUUUUCUUUAAGAAAAUAUAAGGAGGGGCUCCUGGCUGGCUCAGCCGGUGAAGCAUGCAACUCUUGAUCUUGGGUAGUAAGUUCGAGCCCAGGUAGGGUGUCAAGUUUACUUAAAAAGAAAAUCCAGGGGCACCUGGGUGGCUCAGUCAGUCAAGCAUCUGACUUUGGCUCAGGUCGUGAUCCCGCGGUAUGUGGGUUCAAGCCCCGAGUUGGGCUCUGGGCUGGAAGCUCGGAGCCUGGAGCCUGCUUCGGAUUCUGUCUCCCUCCCUCUGUUUCCCUCUCUCUCUGCCCCUCUGUGUCUCUCGCCCUCUGAAAA